UCUUGCUUGCUCCAAGCUUCGUUCUUCGUUCGUUUCUGUGUCUGCUAAGAAGCGAAACUUUGCUACGCAAAGCUGGUAAAACAAAAGACUGGUGUAACUUAAGGAAGACAGAUAUGUUCAAAAGCGAAUUCUGGAUACUGUGACCGUAACAACUGAUAUAUCCAGAAUAAACUGACUCGAAGGUUUGUUACAUAAAGAGGCGAAAAGCGGUAACUCAAUUCAGUGAUGUACGUAGUGGCGAUGAUCUUAAGGUGCAAAACUCUAAACCAACGCAUGAAGCUUGUGCACUACAUUCAACUGACGGCUGACUGUUGGCGCAAUGAUAGAAUGACAUCGCUCUGUUAAAUCGCCAUUAUAGACGCUGUUUAAUGAAACUGCUGCCGGGCUCUCUACGUUGAAUUUUUUCUUUGCGUAUCCACGCAAACACAAUUAAUAAAGAAUGUGAAAGUUCCAUGGAUAAAUUCUUUUGGCUAGCAGUUGACGCGCGCUUUAAAAAGGGGUCUAAGUCCUUCAGCGAAAAACGUUUGCGGUCUCAGACACACACAAAAAACGAAAUCUUUUGGCGGAAAAAAGAUCGCAGUUUAAGACGGAAUUUUCGUGGUCGCGGAGCAAGUUGGGAAAAAAGUCUGCGCUUUUUGAUGGAGUCUAGAAAUUUGUCAAAAAUAAACUAAGUCUUUUGGCGGCAAAAAAUUCUGCGCUUUUAGAUGGAGUCUAGAAAUUUGCCAAAAAUAAACUGUCUUUUGGCGGGAAAAAAAUCUGUGCAGUUUGCAGUCCGAUUUAGCCCAUCAAAAGCCAGCCUUUAUUUUGACUUAUUACUAGACCCUGUUUGAAAGUGCAGAACGUUUUUCCGCGUCGGCAACCCUGUAUAGUCAAAAACUAGUAAAAGAGAUAGCCUACAUUUCGACUAGUUUCUAGGC